UAGGCUGUCUUCAAUUUAGUGGACUGUGUUUUUGUAAACUGGAAGUUUAAAAUGGUGUCUGAUUCCCACCUAGUCCCUAGAAUUCAGAAACAUUUUCUGAAUCUCCUUACAUUUUAUGGCAGUAUUCAAAAUGAAUCUUUUUCUUUUUGAGUUUAUUUAUUUAUUUUUGAGAGAGAGCACAGUGGGGGAGGGGCAGAGAAAGAGAAGGAGAGAGAGAAUCCCAAGCAGGCUUUGUACUGCCAGUGCGAAGCCCAACUCGGGGCUCAAACCCACGAAUUAUGAGAUCAUGAUCUGAGCAGAAGUCAGGUGCUUAACCGGCUGAGCCACCCAGGUACACCAUGAUUUUGUAUUCUUGUUUAUAAUUAAGCAAAUUGAUUAUGUAACCAAGGCCAUACCUGGAGUGUCAUAUUUGAGAAUAAUUCUCCUUUAAUCAGGUUUGACAAGCAUAUUAUCAAAAUAACAAGUUGACUAUGUAUGUUGAGUCAAUGUUUACAAUGCUGUCCUGGUAAAAUUGGAAUUGGUAACUGGCUUACAGGGUUCCAGUCUUACAGGUGGUUAGGAAGGGCCCGUUUGGGCAAGCCAGGAACCUUAGUAAAUUUUGGAGAUGCUGAGGAGAGAAAGUCACUCAAAUUCUUAGGUACUACUUGAGAACUCUGGUGCAGAAUUGCUUGACUUUGGUUCUAGAUCUAGCCUUGAGAUCGCAAAUUAUAGAGGCUUUUAAAAGUCUGAGUGUCCCUAUGAAAACUUUCAGACAGAAGUUAAUUCUGCAUCUUUGGUAAUUGUUCAGCACAGUAUGUCUUUGGAUUUACAAAGUAAAUUCAAGGAGGCCUACAUGGUUCAUUAACACUGUGGCAGUAAUCAGGCCAAACCUAAUGAAACCUGCCUUUUUAGAACAAAAUAAUCUUGGCAGGUUAUUUAUGAUCACAAGGAAGAAACUGUCAAGAAACACUGUGAAAAACUUGGAAAUGGGUAAAAGGAAUUACUGAGUGUCCAUUUAGUGGAGUGGUAGGUUUUAUCUAAUGGAUUCUGAGGGUAGUAUCUGAAGUGCUAUGUAUCUAUAAUUGUCUUCCUAUUGACUAGUCUGUUUUACCAUUCUGUAAACUCAAAAAAAGUUAAAUUAUAGAAAAUGGAUAGUAAUGUAAAUGAACUACAGUUGAUUUCUGCUCAGUGGAAAAGAUGACCCCUUUAGAUUUUAUUGCCCUAUAAGAUAUUAAACAGUUUUAUAUCUAUUAGCAAAUUUUAAGCAUUUCUAAUUGCCUAUAUGUUUGUUUUUCAAAUUCUCCCUUAUGCCAGUUUAAAAAAAUUUUUUAAUGCUUAUUCAUUUAUUUAGAGAGGGAGAGAGACAGAGUGCAAACAAGGAGGGGCAGAGAGAAGGUAAGAGAGAACCCCAAGCAGGCUCCAGUGCUGUUAGCACAGAGCCCCAUGCAGGGCUUGAUCUCACUAACUGUGAGAUCAUGACUUGAGCCAAAAUCAAGAGUAGGACGCUUAACCCACUGAGCCUCCCAGGUGCCCCAUCCCUUAUGACAGUUUUAAUACCUCAUUAAUUCCCUCAUUCAUUAAUGAGUUAAAUGAAAUUUUUAACAUUUUUUAAGUGUUUCCUGUAGGAUUUUAUUUUAUUUUUUUUUUUAGUGUUUAUUUAUUUAUUUUGAGAUAGCAUGAGCAGGGGAGAGGCAGAGAGAGAGGGAUAGAGAGAAUCCCAAGCAGGCUCCAUACUUAGCACAGAGCCUGAUGUGGGGCUUGAUCUCACAACUGUGAGAACAUGACCUGAGCCAAAAUCAAAAACUGGACACUUAUGUAGUAUUUAAUGUUGUCUCCAAAGACCUUUUGUAGUACUUGAUCAUGGGUAAUACAUUAAAAUAAGUGGAUGUCAUUCUAAAAGCCAUAUAAAUAGCCAUUUUUUAAACCCAGAGAAGGCUUGGUAUAAUCUCCUCUCCCUUUAUGCAAAUUGAUGACUAUGGCACAUUCCUUAUUCAUUAAAAUUGCCAGAAAUAUACCAGCUCUGCUACAAAACUAUGCCUUUUCCAGAAACCAUCAAUUCAGAGAUAUAGGCAACUAACAAUCAUGUUUAUGGUCUAUGAUUCUUCCUACCCUCCUGGCUGUAAUGGCCCUAGCCAGUCAGCUUAUAUAAGUGGUAGGAAAUCUAACAUAUAUAAAUAUUAGGUCUUGUUCUAUUUUAGGAUUGAAGAAACAGAGAAAGCUAGGCUACAGAACGAGAAAAAAAUGAAAUGUGACAGAAGUAGAGUUGAAAGGUAGAAAAAUAUUAUUGCAUGGAUUUCUAAAGUUAUUUGGCUUCUAGACCCUUUCUAAAACUCACUUCAUUCCUGCCCUUUUGAUCCAUGAGGCACUUCAAUGUACUUAACAUACAUUUGUUCAUUUUUUAAAGUAGGUUCCAUGCCCAAUGUGGGGCUUGAACUCAGGAGCCUGAAAUCAAGAAUCAAAUGCUCUACCAACUGAGCCAGCCAGGUGCCCCUGUUCACUUUUUUCUUAAAGUCGUUUAAGUUCAUUUGUGUUACUAGUGACUAAAAAGUCUUAAUUGAUAGUUAUAUAAUGGCUUAAUAUUUAUAAUCAAGGGUACAUUAACAUUAUCAUCAUAUGGCUUUGGAAUACAUUUAUAGGUCUAGAAGCUUUAUGUUUAGAAUUGGUAGGUAAGUUUUUGGACUUAUGUAUUAUAAAUUCAAAUCUGCAUUUGGAAUAUAUUCUAUUUAACUUGUAAUUUCUUUGUAAUACUCAGGAAGUCUCUAAAUCUCCUUACCAAUCUCUGUCAUUGAAGUACAAUUUCAUAACUGAGCAUGAAAAAAGCAGUCUUUUAAAUAUUUUUUGUAAAAGAUUAGAUUUUUAUUUUUAUAAUUAAGUGGCAACAGAAGAAUGUAUUUGGUUUCUGCCCUCAGUCCCUGGCUCUGAACUCCUAAAACUCUUUGAAUUUGCUGAGUAUCUGUUGUUAUUCAUGACAAACACAAAGGAUGGUAUCUGAGUUUAUGCUAAUGAGGUGACUUCAGGUGGGGCCCCUAGAUGGGAAUUUAGGAUGGGGCUGAUCAUCAGAAAGAUUAAGCAAUCAGAUGAUUGUGUUACGGAUUGAAUUGUGUUCCUACAAAAUUCAACAGUUGGAAGCCCUAACCUUUCCCCAUGUGAUUGUAUUUGGAUGUGGGCUGUGAGACAAGUGAUUAAGGUCAAAUGAGGUCAUAAAGGUAGGGCCCUAAUCUAAUAAGACUUGUGUCCUUAUUUGAAGAGAAAAACACCAGAGCCUUCUCUCUCCUCAUGCAUGUGCACAGAGGAGGCCGUGUGAGAACACAGUGAGAAGGUGGCACUCGACAAGCCAGGAAGAGAUCUCACCAGAAACCAACCCAGAUGGCACCUUGAUCUUGGACUUGUAGCCUCCAGAACUGUAAGAAACUAAAGUUCUGUUGUGUAAGCCACCCAGCCUGCAACAUUUUGUUCUGGCAGCCCUAGCCACUAAUACAGCUUCAAAGUAUUCCACUGUAUGGAUGAUCAACAUCUUGGUUGUUUCUAUAUUUGGCUGUUUCUACAAAAUGCUGAAAUGAAUAAGCUAUAGGAGGACAAAGAUUAGAAAUGGCGUGGAAAUAAAGGUGAUGUGGUUGGAUUCUGAAGUCAGGCUGAUUUGAUGUGACUCCACUGUAUCUUUAUCAUCCUAUCUAGCUCAGGUGGAAGACCUUGAAGCAAAGUAUCCCCAGAUGGGAGCGUCAGAAGCAAUAAGGACUGCCCUAAAGUGGCAAGUGGCUGAACCUGAUCUGUUUGGGGCCCCCAGACAGGUGUUCCUGCACUCCUGUGUACCGGCUACAGUGGGAUUCAAACUCAGCCCACUCUGGCAUAGCCUGAGUGUAGAAACCAAAGGGAAAAGUGACAUAAGAGGAGGAGGCUGGAUCAGCUCAUUCCCAGUCCUAGGACACUGGAGAGAUUCCUCGUCUGAUCAGCACGCCAGAGGACAGCUCCUCCGGGAAAAUGAAAUCUUUCCAAAUCCCCAAUCAGAGAGAGAAAGAACGCGGCCACUGGGACAAAGUUUGUACCGGAGGCCACGAAAUCACCCCCCCCCCCCACACACACACCCUCCCCGAGUCCCUGCAACAUCUGAGAGCUUGAACUUUCUUCCCUCUAUUCCCACAGCCCCAAGGAAACUGUCUUGAGUCCUCGUUAUAAGGAGGCUUAGGGCGUGAACUAGGUCAUUCUUCCAAGUGUCUGGGGAUGGGCUGCCUCGAAUUUAAUUUCUCCUCUCCACUA